GGGGGCUAAUACCGGAUAACACAUGAAACCGCAUGGUUUCAUGAUGAAAGACGGUUUUGCUGUCACUUAUAGAUGGACCCGCGGCGUAUUAGCUAGUUGGUAAGGUAACGGCUUACCAAGGCAACGAUACGUAGCCGACCUGAGAGGGUGAUCGGCCACACUGGAACUGAGACACGGUCCAG
rnacentral:rRNA from 1 species